UAGGGAAUCUUCCGCAAUGGACGAAAGUCUGACGGAGCAACGCCGCGUGAGUGAAGAAGGAUUUCGGUUCGUAAAACUCUGUUGUUAGGGAAGAAAAAAUGUAUAGUAACUAUAUACAAAAGAGACGGUACCUAACCAGAAAGCCACGGCUAACUACGUGCCAGCAGCCGCGGUAAUACGUAGGUGGCAAGCGUUGUCCGGAAUUAUUGGGCGUAAAGCGCGCGCAGGUGGUUUAGAAAGUCUGAUAUGAAAGCCCACGGCUCAACCGUGGAGGGUCAUUGGAAACUAAUAAACUUGAGUGCAGGAGAGAAAAGUGGAAUUCCUGGUGUAGCGGUGAAAUGCGUAGAGAUUAGGAGGAACACCGGUGGCGAAAGCGGCUUUUUGGCCUGCAACUGACACUGAGGCGCGAAAGCGUGGGGAGCAAACAGG
rnacentral:rRNA from 1 species